CCAAUGGCGAAGGCAGGACUCUGGGCCAUUACUGACACUGAGGAGCGAAAGCGUGGGGAGCGAACAGGAUUAGAUACCCUGGUAGUCCACGCCGUAAACGGUGGGCACUAGUUGUGGGGACCUUCCACGGUCUCUGCGACGCAGCUAACGCAUUAAGUGCCCCGCCUGGGGAGUACGAUCGCAAGAUUAAAACUCAAAGGAAUUGACGGGGCCCCGCACAAGCAGCGGAGCAUGCGGCUUAAUUCGACGCAACGCGAAGAACCUUACCAAGGCUUGACAUAUACAGGAAUAUGGCAGAGAUGUCAUAGCCGCAAGGUCUGUAUACAGGUGGUGCAUGGUUGUCGUCAGCUCGUGUCGUGAGAUGUUGGGUUAAGUCCCGCAACGAGCGCAACCCUCGUUCUGUGUUGCCAGCAUUUAGUUGGGGACUCACAGGAGACUGCCGGGGUUAACUCGGAGGAAGGUGGGGAUGACGUCAAAUCAUCAUGCCCCUUAUGUCUUGGGCUGCACGCAUGUUACAAUGGCUGGUACAAACGGCUGCAAUACCGCAAGGUGGAGCGAAUCCGAGAAAGCCAGUCUCAGUUCGGAUUGGGGUCUGCAACUCGACCCCAUGAAGUCGGAGUUGCUAGUAAUCGUAGAUCAGCAACGCUACGGUGAAUACGUUCCCGGGGCUUGUACACACCGCCCGUCACGUCAC
rnacentral:rRNA from 1 species